rnacentral:rRNA from 1 species
AUGGCCAUACCAUGCUGAAUAUACCGGUUCUCGUUAGAUCACCGAAAACAAGCAUCAUUGGGCGCGGUUAGUACUUGGCGGGUGACCACCUGGGAACACCGCGUGCCGUU